GGGCGGCUAGUUCAGUGGUAGAACGCUGUCCUGAUAAGACAGAGGUCGGAGGUUCGAUCCCUCCGCCGCCCACCA
rnacentral:tRNA from 4 species